rnacentral:rRNA from 1 species
GAUGAACGCUGGCGGCGUGCCUAAUACAUGCAAGUCGAGCGAACAGACGAGGAGCUUGCUCCUCUGACGUUAGCGGCGGACGGGUGAGUAACACGUGGAUAACCUACCUAUAAGACUGGGAUAACUUCGGGAAACCGGAGCUAAUACCGGAUAAUAUAUUGAACCGCAUGGUUCAAUAGUGAAAGACGGUUUUGCUGUCACUUAUAGAUGGAUCCGCGCCGCAUUAGCUAGUUGGUAAGGUAACGGCUUACCAAGGCAACGAUGCGUAGCCGACCUGAGAGGGUGAUCGGCCAAACUGGAACUGAGACAGGGUCCAGACUCCUACGGGAGGCAGCAGUAGGGAAUCUUCCGCAAUGGGCGAAAGCUUGACGGAGCAACGCCGCGUGAGUGAUGAAGGUCUUCGGAUCUUAAAACUCUGUUAUUAGGGAAGAACAAAUGUGUAAGUAACUAUGCACGUCUUGACGGUACCUAAUCAGAAAGCCACGGCUAACUCCGUG